rnacentral:other from 1 species
AGUGUCCUGAAAUGUUCGUUGUAUUACCUAACUUUUGACCAACAUUAUUUCUUCGGGAGUCUGGGUUUUCAAGCUGCGUAAAAGCCUCAACCUAUACGGUUAAAGGGACUUACAAAAACUUGGAAUAAGACACCCACCUGCGAGAGUGGCGGGAUCAAAAGAAGGAACUAAGCGCGACGGCACCAUUGGGACCCUU